AUAAUACGGCGAGAGGAAGCAUCUACAGAUGAGACGUACGAUGAAACAUUUCUAGAUGAGAGAGAUCAGACCAUGCUCUCGAUGGACAUGAUGGAAUUUCAGGAUGAAGAGAGCAAGCAAUUGGCUCCCAUGGAGGAGGCGGAUGUAGGGGAGGAGAGGAGGCCGUGGCAGUCUCCACGGCGACGGGCCUUUCUCUGCCCCACUGCACUGGGUCGACGAUCUUCCUUUCACUUGGAGUGUCUGAGAAAACAUAACAGACCUGAUGUUUCACAGAAAACAGCACUACCACUGCAUCUAGUGCAUCAUCAGGUAAACUUAUGUGUGCGCACUCACACACACAC